GUGCAGCAGUCGCGAAACUUCACAAUGUGCGAAAGCACGAUGAGGGAAUCCCAAGUGCUUGCACGUAAGUGUAAGCUGUUUCUCUGUCUAAAACGCAGAGAGAGUAAGGGCUGGGUAAGACGGGUGCCAGCCGCCGCGGUAAUACCUGCAGCUCGAGUGGUGACCGUUAUUAUUGGGCCUAAAACGUCCGUAGCCGGUUUAAUAAAUGCCUGGGGUAAAUCGGACCGCUUAACGGUUCAAGUUCCGGGUAGACUGUUAAACUUGAGACCGGGAGAAGUUAGAGGUACUCCUGGGGUAGAGGUGAAAUUCUGUAAUCCUAGGGGACCACCAGUGGCGAAGGCGUCUAACUAGAACGGGUCUGACGGUGAGGGACGAAGCCCUGGGGCGCAAACGGGGAUUAGAUACCCCUGUAG
rnacentral:rRNA from 1 species